CAGUAGCCACGGUAAUACGAAGGGUGCAAGCGUUACUCGGAAUUACUGGGCGCAAAGCGUGCGUAGGUGGUGGUUUAAGUCCGUUGUGAAAGCCCUGGGCUCAACCUGGGAAUUGCAGUGGAUACUGGGUCACUAGAGUGUGGUAGAGGAUAGUGGAAUUUCCGGUGUAGCAGUGAAAUGCGUAGAGAUCGGAAGGAACAUCUGUGGCGAAGGCGACUAUCUGGGCCAACACUGACACUGAGGCACGAAAGCGUGGGGAGCAAACAGGAUUAGAUACCCCCGUAGUCCCUGUCUCUUAUAC
rnacentral:rRNA from 1 species